CCCAAUACGCGGUCGAUCUCU
rnacentral:miRNA from 1 species